rnacentral:lncRNA from 1 species
GGGCGUGGAACAGUGAUAUCUCCACCAAAAGGACACACCUCUCAAAGAAUAACACAUCCCCAAUUAACAUAAUGCAAUUUGUUUAUAAGAAUUUUUUCAGGAAAAACUUCCUAACAAGCUUAGCAACGUGGUCGAGCAUAGUAUCAUGACAACCAUAAAUUAACUAAUAGUUAGGAAUCCAAAUGACGACAGCAGUAGCUAAGAUAACGCAGCCUGUGGAGAAGAGGUGGUCUUCUUUAAGAUUAAUUAUAAUCACACGGAUCAUGGAAGUUUAUAGGGUUAAUUGCGGAUAAAAUUGGUGU